UACGUAGGGUGCGAGCGUUAAUCGGAAUUACUGGGCGUGAAGCGUGCGCAGGCGGUUUUGUAAGCCAGAUGUGAAAUCCCCGGGCUUAACCUGGGAAUGGCAUUUGGGACUGCAAGGCUGGAGUGUGGCAGAGGAGACUGGAAUUCCUGGUGUAGCAGUGAAAUGCGUAGAUAUCAGGAGGAAUACCGAUGGCGAAGGCAGGUCUCUGGGCUGACACUGACGCUCAUGCACGAAAGCGUGGGGAGCAAACAGG
rnacentral:rRNA from 1 species